ACUAAACUUGCGGAAGGAUAUUUGAUUUCACGGACACUAAUUUUCGAGGAUUACAACCUUUUUCUACAGAAAUAGUGAGUCCAAAGUGUUUGGAAAUUAUUGGAGUCGGAGUUUAUUUGGAGACAUGCCAUUAACAGAGUAAUAAAGACAGCCCUACUUGUGCGUUCCAGAUAUGUUACGAAAAAAGAUACUUCCUUCGAGCCCAACUACGAAACUCGUAAAUACAUGCUCUGUAAAGUACAGAGCUAUUGAAUGUGAAAGGAUUUAUUACAUAAAAAUCUCCAUUCCAAGAGGUGAACGAUGUUGAGUGGGAGCUGAGCAAGAAUCAUUAUUGAAAUCUUGUCCUGCCUUCGUGAAGAAACUUGAUAUAUGGUCGAGGGAGCUUCUCCCAGGAUCCCUUUGCCAACACAAAGUGUCACUGAGCACUGACUACAAGGAGUCUCACAGUCAAGGUCUGGUGAGACACGAGUGAAGAAAUUGCAUCUCCAGAUGAUGGGGAGUAUCGUUGACUUUUGCUGAGCCAAGAGGAUUCAGGAAUGCACAUCCCUCUACAUGAGCCCGUGCACAUCUGCAAUAAGGCCGUCGACUGGGUACGGUGGAACGAUGCAGAGAAAUUGUUUCUGCGUCAUCACUACAAACCAACGAUAAGGACGAAGAUGAAGAUGGCUGUCUUCCACUUUGGAACACAAACAGCAACAGACCAAGCAGGACAAUUCUAUCCUUAAUAUCAGGAGUCCCCUUCUAUAUCAAGUUUCGAGAAUGAUGAACUGUCAGUACUAUUCAGGGUUUCCACAGGAGUCCAUUUGUUGGCAGC